UACGUAGGGGGCAAGCGUUGUCCGGAUUUAUUGGGCGUAAAGAGCGUGUAGGCGGCUGGGUAGGUCCGUUGUGAAAACUCGAGGCUCAACCUCGAGACGCCGAUGGAAACCCUCCAGCUAGAGUCCGGAAGAGGAGAGUGGAAUUCCUGGUGUAGCGGUGAAAUGCGCAGAUAUCAGGAGGAACACCGGUGGCGAAGGCGGUGGGCUGGGCCGGCACUGACGCUGAGGAGCGAAAGCGUGGGGAGCGAACAGG
rnacentral:rRNA from 1 species